UUUUUUUUUUUUUUUUUUGUCACUCUAAUCCAAACAGUUCUAUUUCUUAUAAUUUCACUUCACGGUUGCUUAGCUGUUACAUAUUCAAUUAUGUAAGUCUAGUUUGUCUUUUUUUUUUUGGGGUAAAAUUAUAUUCAUGGUUGGUCCAUGUAAUAGUAAAAAUAUAUGUUUUUCUUACAUAUUUUGGGAUUAUUUUAUACUUUAGUUCAAGUCUAUCCAAUUACAUAAGAAUUCGAUCCACAAGGGCCUAUCAAUGGAAUGGAUAGCUAUUUGUCCGAUGAUCUCGAGAAAAAGAGAGUGAAAAAAUGUCCACGAAUUGAAUUUUUGUUACAUAAGACAAUUAGGUAACUAAUGUAAUAAACCAACCCAAAAAUAUGUGUUGA
rnacentral:lncRNA from 1 species